UACGUAGGUGGCAAGCGUUGUCCGGAAUUAUUGGGCGUAAAGCGCGCGCAGGCGGUCGUUCAAGUCGAGUGUGAAAGCCCCCGGCUCAACUGGGGAGGGUCACUCGAUACUGAUCGACUUGAAGGCAGAAGAGGGAAGCGGAAUUCCCGGUGUAGUGGUGAAAUGCGUAGAUAUCGGGAGGAACACCAGUGGCGAAGGCGGCUUUCUGGUCUGUUCUUGACGCUGAGGCGCGAAAGCUAGGGUAGCAAACGGG
rnacentral:rRNA from 1 species